CCUACGGGAGGCAGCAGUGGGGAAUAUUGGACAAUGGGCGAAAGCCUGAUCCAGCCAUGCCGCGUGUGUGAAGAAGGCCUUCGGGUUGUAAAGCACUUUCAGUGGGGAAGAAAGCCUUGGGGCUAAUACCCUCGAGGAAGGACAUCACCCACAGAAGAAGCACCGGCUAACUCCGUGCCAGCAGCCGCGGUAAUACGGAGGGUGCGAGCGUUAAUCGGAAUUACUGGGCGUAAAGCGCGCGUAGGCGGUCUGAUAAGCCGGUUGUGAAAGCCCCGGGCGCAACCUGGGAACGGCAUCCGGAACUGUCAGGCUAGAGUGCAGGAGAGGAAGGUAGAAUUCCCGGUGUAGCGGUGAAAUGCGUAGAGAUCGGGAGGAAUACCAGUGGCGAAGGCGGCCUUCUGGACUGACACUGACGCUGAGGUGCGAAAGCGUGGGUAGCAAACAGGAUUAGAUACCCUAGUAGUC
rnacentral:rRNA from 1 species